GAUUCUCACUUCUCAGCUUCAUUUAGUGUUUGAUAGCGUGCAAGUGAUCACCGGCGACACUGACAGGGGAAGAGAAGAGAAAGCUCAAGUCUUGAAGGAGGGUUUUCAUCUUCAGCACUGCACCAUACACAAGCAUGAGUGGAACUCCGAGGCCCGAGUUCUUCAAGGUUUUUCUUUAUGAUUCUAGACUUCACAUUCCACCACAUUUGUUGGGCAUGUUAUCGAUGACAACCAUGGAAAAGCCAUGAUAUUCUCGGCUGGUGAAUUUUGGCACGUAAAAGUUCAAAAAACCGAAUAAGGCUUAUUCUUCACAGAUGGUUGGGAAGAAAUUAUCAAAGCCCAUGGUCUCAGUGAAGGAUGCAUUCUUUUCUUCUGUUAUGAGGGUAACAUGGUUUUUACUCUAAAGAUCUUUGGUCAC